GAGGAAUAUUGGUCAAUGGACGAGAGUCUGAACCAGCCAAGUCGCGUGAAGGAUGAAGGUUCUAUGGAUUGUAAACUUCUUUUGUACAGGGGUAAAAAACGGGACGUGUCCUGUCUUGCAAGUACUGUACGAAUAAGCAUCGGCUAACUCCGUGCCAGCAGCCGCGGUAAUACGGAGGAUGCGAGCGUUAUCCGGAUUUAUUGGGUUUAAAGGGUGCGUAGGCGGUUUAUUAAGUCAGCGGUGAAAGUUUGAGGCUCAACCUUAAAAUUGCCGUUGAAACUGGUAGACUUGAGUAUAGAUGAAGUAGGCGGAAUUAGUGGUGUAGCGGUGAAAUGCAUAGAUAUCACUAGGAACUCCGAUAGCGAAGGCAGCUUACUAAGGUAUAACUGACGCUGAUGCACGAAAGUGUGGGUAUCAAAC
rnacentral:rRNA from 1 species